rnacentral:tRNA from 1 species
UGUAGAAUAAGCUAAAGUUUAAGCUGUUGGGUUCAUACCCCAAAAAUGAAGAUAUCACUUCUUCUACAA